UUGAAGGACAGGUUUCUAGUGACAAGG
rnacentral:piRNA from 1 species